GCCGAAAUAGCUCAGCGGCAGAGCAACGGUUUUGUAAACCGUAGGUCGUGGGUUCGAAUCCCACUUUCGGCU
rnacentral:tRNA from 1 species